AUUGAACGCUGGCGGCAGGCCUAACACAUGCAAGUCGAACGAGUGGCGGACGGGUGAGUAAUGUCUGGGAAACUGCCUGAUGGCGGGGGAUAACUACUGGAAACGGUAGCUAAUACCGCAUACCAUCAGAUGUGCCCAGAUGGGAUUCAAGUGUGGGUGGGGUAACGGCUCACCAAGGCGACGAUCCCUAGCUGGUCUGAGAGGAUGACCAGACACACUGGAACUGAGAAACGGUCCAGACUCCGACGGGAGGAAGCAGUGGGAAAUAUUGCACAAUGGGCGCAAGCCUGAUGCAGCCAUGCCGCGUGUAUGAAGAAGUCCUGCGGGUUGUAAAGUACUUUCAGCGGGGAGGCGUUACCAGCAGAAGAAGCACAGGCUAACUCCGCGCCAGCAGCCGCGGUAAUAC
rnacentral:rRNA from 1 species